AGCUAACGCGUGAAGUUCGCCGCCUGGGGAGUACGGUCGCAAGAUUAAAACUCAAAGGAAUUGACGGGGACCCGCACAAGCGGUGGAUGAUGUGGAUUAAUUCGAUGCAACGCGAAAAACCUUACCUACCCUUGACAUGCCAGGAACCCUGCUGAGAGGUGGGGGUGCUCGAAAGAGAGCCUGGGCACAGGUGCUGCAUGGCUGUCGUCAGCUCGUGUCGUGAGAUGUUGGGUUAAGUCCCGCAACGAGCGCAACCCUUGUCAUUAGUUGCCAUCAUUUAGUUGGGCACUCUAAUGAGACUGCCGGUGACAAACCGGAGGAAGGUGGGGAUGACGUCAAGUCCUCAUGGCCCUUAUGGGUAGGGCUUCACACGUCAUACAAUGGUCGGUACAGAGGGUUGCCAAGCCGCGAGGUGGAGCCAAUCCCGGAAAGCCGAUCGUAGUCCGGAUCGUAGUCUGCAACUCGACUGCGUGAAGUCGGAAUCGCUAGUAAUCGUGGAUCAGCAUGCCACGGUGAUACGUUCCCGGGUCUUGUACACACCGCCCGUCACACCAUGGGAGUGGGUUUCACCAGAAGUAGGUAGCCUAACCGCGAGGGGGCGCUUACCACGGUGGGAUUCAUGACUGG
rnacentral:rRNA from 1 species